UGGGGAAUAUUGCACAAUGGGCGAAAGCCUGAUGCAGCAACGCCGCGUGAGUGAUGAAGGCCUUCGGGUUGUAAAGCUCUGUCUUUUGGGACGAUAAUGACGGUACCAAAGGAGGAAGCCACGGCUAACUACGUGCCAGCAGCCGCGGUAAUACGUAGGUGGCAAGCGUUGUCCGGAUUUACUGGGCGUAAAGGAUGCGUAGGCGGAUUUUUAAGUGAGAUGUGAAAACCCUAAGCUUAACUUGGGGACUGCAUUUCAUACUGGAAAUCUAGAGUGCGGGAGAGGAGAAUGGAAUUCCUAGUGUAGCGGUGAAAUGCGUAGAGAUUAGGAAGAACACCAGUGGCGAAGGCGAUUCUCUGGACCGUAACUGACGCUGAGGCAUGAAAGCGUGGGUAGCAAACAGGAUUAGAUACCCUGGUAGUCCACGCCGUAAACGAUGAGUACUAGGUGUAGGAGGUAUCGACCCCCUUCUGUGCCGCAGUUAACACAAUAAGUACUCCGCCUGGGAAGUACGAUCGCAAGAUUAAAACUCAAAGGAAUUGACGGGGUCAUAGCUGUUUUCCU
rnacentral:rRNA from 1 species